GCAUAUCAAUAAGCGGAGGAAAAGAAACCAACAGGGAUUGCCUCAGUAACGGCGAGUGAAGCGGCAAGAGCUCAAAUUUGAAAUCUGGCUCCUUUGGGGCCCGAGUUGUAAUUUGCAGAGGAUGCUUCGGGUGCGGCCACGGCAUAAGUUCCUUGGAACAGGAUGUCAUAGAGGGUGAGAAUCCCGUCUUGGGUCGUCGGUACGCGCCCGUGUGAAGCUCCUUCGACGAGUCGAGUUGUUUGGGAAUGCAGCUCUAAAUGGGUGGUAAAUUUCAUCUAAAGCUAAAUACUGGCUGGAGACCGAUAGCGCACAAGUAGAGUGAUCGAAAGGUUAAAAGCACCUUGAAAAGGGAGUUAAAUAGCACGUGAAAUUGUUGAAAGGGAAGCGCUUGCAACCAGACUCGGCCGCAGAGGCUCAGUGGGCACGUGUGCCCGUGCACUCCUCUGUGGUCGGGCCAGCAUCAGUUCUGGCGGCCGGUCAAAGGCCCCUGGAAGGUGUCGCCUCUCGGGGCGUCUUAUAGCCAGGGGUGCAAUGCGGCCUGCCGGGACUGAGGAACGCGCUUCGGCACGGAUGCUGGCGUAAUGGUUGUAAGCGGCCCGUCUUGAAACACGGACCAAGGAGUCUAACAUCCACGCGAGUGUUCGGGUGUCAAACCCGUGCGCGCAGUGAAAGCGAACGGAGGUGGGAUCCCCGUUAGGGGCGCACCAUCGACCGAUCCUGAUGUCUUCGGAUGGAUUUGAGUAAGAGCGUGGCUGUUGGGACCCGAAAGAUGGUGAACUAUGCCUGAAUAGGGCGAAGCCAGAGGAAACUCUGGUGGAGGCUCGCAGCGGUUCUGACGUGCAAAUCGAUCGUCAAAUUUGGGUAUAGGGGCGAAAGACUAAUCGAACCAUCUAGUAGCUGGUUCCUGCCGAAGUU
rnacentral:rRNA from 1 species